CCUACGGGAGGCAGCAGUGAGGAAUAUUGGUCAAUGGACGAGAGUCUGAACCAGCCAAGUAGCGUGAAGGAUGACUGCCCUAGGGGUUGUAAACUUCUUUUAUAUGGGAAUAAAACGUUCCACGUGUGGGAUUUUGUAUGUACCAUAUGAAUAAGGAUCGGCUAACUCCGUGCCAGCAGCCGCGGUAAGACGGAGGAUCCGAGCGUUAUCCGGAUUUAUUGGGUUUAAAGGGAGCGUAGGUGGAUUGUUAAGUCAGUUGUGAAAGUUUGCGGCUCAACCGUAAAAUUGCAGUUGAAACUGGCAGUCUUGAGUACAGUAGAGGUGGGCGGAAUUCGUGGUGUAGCGGUGAAAUGCUUAGAUAUCACGAAGAACUCCGAUUGCGAAGGCAGUUCACUGGACUGCAACUGACACUGAGGCUCGAAAGUGUGGGUAUCAAACAGGAUUAGAUACCCUUGUAGUC
rnacentral:rRNA from 1 species